rnacentral:lncRNA from 1 species
UUUUUUUUUUUUUUCUUUUACCUGCAGGACUUCUCAGAGCCUUUAGUUAUCUUUAUGUCCAUUAUGAAAAUCCAAGUAGAAGACACAGGAUUUAGCAUUUUCCAAACUUAUCCUUUUUUCCCCUUAUAAUAUUUCAUAGAAUAGAUCUUCUAAGAAAAAUGUAUUGGUAUGUAAGUAUGGGACUAGACAUUAUCAACAAAAAUGUGAAAAGAGACAUGGACAGUAGAGACAGGUUAAACACAAUGCAAAUUAACUCAUAGAGUCAGAUAACCACAGCAUAAAAACACUUCAAGAAUGUUAAACCCUAUUUAGCUCAACAUGAUAGUCCUUAUUGUAAACUAUGCCUAAAUCUUAUGGAGAGAAGCAAAGCUUUACAAUCAGAGUUAUUCCAUAAAUAUUAUAUGCCAAGCUCAGCUAUUGGUAUUUAUGUUGCACAACUCAGUUAAACAAAACCAUCUUCUACUCUAACCUGUUGGAAAGAGUUGACAUUUUACAUCAUGUUCUCUAUUUACCACCAACAUUUUUAUAGAUUAAAAAAUGUAUGAAAUGAUGUAAAGGAUAAGAGAGCCAUCUGGUAAAGAUUAAUUUAAAUAAUUUUAUUACAUCUGUUAAAAUCAGAUAAAUAAGACCUUUAUCUUAGUGAGUAAAAUUAACUAUUGAGUCUCUGAUGUGUAGAUCAAGAUCUACAAAUGGACCUGCAAUGCAAACUUCUUUCAGUAGAUCCUGGAGUCACAUACCACUGGCACUGGCCCUUCUCAGCCACUUCACCCCUUCUUGCUUUGAUGGGAUUCCCUGUGGGGAAAAGAAGGUGCAGCCAGCAGGGUUACAUUCUUGCUGAGUCUGUGACUCUACACACUGUGAGUACCCUUCCCUUCACCACCCACACUAUAAUCUCAAACUAUCUUCAGAAAAAUGGGAUCCCUCCCCACAUUGUAGUCUACCCAAAUAGCCUUUCAUUGACUUAAUGUGGAAUCUGGCUUCCAAAUACUCUAUUAAUAAUAAAUUGAAAGGUUACCUUUAUAAUCUCAGAAUAAGAAAUACAAAGACUUUAUAAGAAAUAUUUUUAUAAUUUAGUUUCCUUGGUAAUUGUGCUGAAAAUGAAAUUUGCUCUUGAUCAACUAUUCAUCUCAUCCAAUACAAUUAGAGUAACUUCUGUUACACAGGUCACCAGAAAGUACCAUUAAAGUCAUGUUGGAAUACUGUAUAAUGGUCACUGUUAUAAGGAUAAAUUCCAUUCACCUGACUCUCCUAAGAGUUUUGUGAAAAUAGAUAAUUAUACUAGAAUACAUUUAAAAAAGCAAUAUUUUUACCAAUCCAUGCAGUGUGUAUAUUAAUCUACCCCAAAUAUCCAAUUGUUAUUCUCUUAUUAUUCAAGAUAAAGUCUGGAGGCAACAGUAUUCUAUUACUUCAAUUUAGAAUCAUUGUGUAUCAGAGUAGCAUGGAAAAAAUCAGAUAGUUAUAUGUUUCACACCUUGAACAAGUAAGAUGGAACUAUCCCCAAAGAAGUUUCCUUUCAAGUCUAAAGUAUAAAGCAAAGUUCUGAUAAAAUCAUGUUUGUAGAAACUAAACCAUUGAAAUGUCUCAAAGAGAUAAGGAGAAUCAUACACUAGAAGAGACAGGUGUGGAAAAAAAAGAUAUCUAUUCUUGGAGUUCUGGCAUAGAGUGCUCACCUAUCUCUGUAGGUUCCAGAAAAAUGGAGAUGUCAAAGACAUGGGAGGGUGACAUAAACUAUUUUGUAAUCUAACAUCUUUUAAGUAGCCUCCCAAGUGAACUGGAUGGUUGAAUGGGAUAAAAAAUGCUAGCGAUACAGUGAUGUAUAUUGAGAAUUGAUAAACUUGAGUCUAACAUACCUUCUCAUUUUGAGAAUUCUGUUAAAAUGCUUUGCAAAAUUUCAAGAGUGGAACAUAAAGGUAAUCUGUCUACUGCCACUUUCCCAUGCAAAUUGCUUGAAUCUAUUAACAUACGAAAUUUCAAAAUAUUAGUUCAGUUCUAUAACUAUUCUAGACAAAGCAGAGGAAAGGACCUCCCUAUUAAGUAAUCUCUACGCCCAACUUGGGGUACAAAUUCACAAGCCCGAGAUCAAGAGUCACAUGUUCUACUAAGUCAGCCAGCCAGGCAUCCCCCAACUCUUUCAAUCCCUAAAGCAAGCCUUUGAUAUCAGUAUUUUUAUUAUCCUCAUUUUAAAGAACAUAUUGAUAAUAUAUGGCAGAGCUGAAAUAUUUUGAGAAUAAGAAUAUUAACAGAAUUAUCAUAUAUUCAUCUAUUCAAUAGAGUCUGGAAAGUAACUACAGAUAACAGUAUGGUGAAUAAUAGGGACUUGGUAUUGACAGCCUCUUGUCCAAAAUGAGUGUAUGACUAGUGUUAGGCAUGGAAUGAGGGUAUUAUGGGGCUUACUCCCAAAUCCACAUAAGAUUUUACAAAAGCAGACUACAGACGAAUCAGCCACUACAGCACCUGAGGAUGUUACCUUUUUGUCCAGUCACCUUUGUUUUUCCUUUUGCUCCUAUUCUCUGUUCCUUUCCACUGCCUCUUCCUCCAACAUUAUUACUCUUGGUUUUUGUUUUUAUUCCCCAGGUAUUUAAAACAUUAUUGAAAGUUUUAAAGUUCUCUGAAGCGUCUCUUGAAAUCCCCUGGGAGGAAAGCAAUGCAAAUUUCAAGUGAAGAAAAGGAAGAAAAUUGUAAAGUUUCACAGUUCAUGAGCAUUUCCCUAUGGCCAAUGUAGUUCUAUAUUCUUUAGCACUAUGCAUUCUCAUCAAUUACCUUCCACUGUGAUUUAUAGAUAUCUCUUUUUUAUACUACAACGGUUUAAACUACUUUACAUUGAAAUCCAUUCCAAUUUAAGUUAGAUAUUUUUCUAAAGUGACAAAGGAAUAAGGGCUUAUGAAAAUGCUCAACUAUGAAGAGAAAAAUGCUUUUGCUACAAAUAGAAAACCAUGGGGCUUUUUAAUGUAAAUUCUAGGAAAUAACAAAUCAGUUAGGUUGCUUUGAGCUGUACAAAGAACAAAUCAUCAAUUUGUAAAGACCUACAAAAAAAAUGGAGAUGAUAACCAAUAGCGUGUGUGAAAAGUCUACCUUAUCGGAACCUUCUAAUUUCAUUUUAUAAAAAAAUGACAGGCCUGAGAGACAUCAAGAAACCUAAAUGUAAUCUGUCCAAGAGUCCAUAGAUAUUUGUAUCUGACAUGAGGAUCAACAAUCUCAAGCUCCAUAUGUGACUCUGUCAAAUUCCCUGGGGAUGCUCCUUUCUCAAAUAGUAAAAACAAGGGACUGGAGGAAGAAAUGCACUCAGGAGUUGCACUUUCAUAAAGAUUUAGAUCAGUAAAGGACCUUGAUAAAUAUGACUUUAAACGAAAUUCUUGCCAUUAUUACUAUGAUUAUUAUUUUAAGUAUUUGAGAUAUUUUAAGUACAAUCCACCUUGAUGGCUGUUGGAAGAAGGGACCUGGCUGGGCCCUUGCAGUCAAAUUUCUGUCACUAAGAGGUGAUGUCUGUGUAACCUUGCUUUCUGUCUUUAAUUUAGCAGAUCUAAGUAUGAUUACGGGUGUGAUUACUACCUUUUUCAUAUUGUCAAUGUUUCAAAUGUAGAAGAUGUCUCUUAUCUCACAGAGAUGAACACAGCUACAAAUCUGAGUGGCCUGCAUUUAAGAGUUAAAUCUGGAGAUCACCCCUACACAUACAGUGUCUGACCUUCAAACUUCCGUGGCCUUUGAGAGGCUGGCUGAGCUGUUGACUUCAUAGGGAAACUCAGCAGGGCAAGGGCCUGUUGAUAGCUUUUAUCAUUCUAUUGAGAACUUGGAAGUAUGUUUAUUAUUUAUAGGGCUGUUUCAAAAAUAUAGUUAUACUUAUUUUUAAUUAAUUGACUUUACCAAAUUAAUGCAUACAUUUAUAUGCACAAUGCAGAAGAGAUACUUAAAUUAAAGGAAUAUAUCUAUUAAGCACUAGUUUUUAAGGAAAAAAAAGAUGAAACUAUGGUAAAAUAUUGCUAAAAUCUAGCAUUUACUGUUUACUGUACUAAGCCCUUGAUGUAGAUGAUCUCUUUUAACCCUGGUAUCAACCCUGUGAGUAGUUUCACUCAUUUUUAGGUGAAAAAUGGAGUUUAUGUGAGAUGUCCAAGUUCACGGAGCUGGAAUGAGAUCUCAAGUGAUGGCCUCCAGGAUCUUCACUUUUAACUACAACUUGUACUGUAAUGUAGCUUAAGGAGGCCAAUAUUCCAAACAUUAAAAAUUUCUUACCUCAGAUUUGUAAGUAUUUGUAAUUUACUACUGACAACUUAUCAGUAUUUUUGAAACAUUAAUGUAUAUUGCCAUAUGGGUCAUACAAAGUUCAUUAUUGCCAGCCUUACAUUUCAUCUUCUAUUUCCUAGUAUUAUUAUAGAAUCCACUUAUACUGGACAUGACUCCACCAUUGAAAGUCAUUAAUUAACUUUUUAAAAAAUCCUUAUGCUAGUCAGAAGUACCAAAUAUUGCUAAUGCCAACUGGUAGUCUUAUAAUGAAAGACAAUAACGUAUCACUGCAAUUUCUUGAUUUGAAAGUCUCAUUAACAUUUGCAUUGAGUGGUAUCUUAAUGAAAUAUCUGCUAAAAGUAGGAGUUGCGUAUGUGUGUGUGUAUACUCUCUUUGGUUCUAGGAAAAAUAAAAACUUACAGAUGAAACUGUGCAGUAUGUUUACCUCCAAAUUUUUCCAUUUGGUCAAAUUUCAGAGCAUUUAUUUUGUGGAAAUGUAUUUCAAAACGUAUCUGAUAUUACUUCAAGGUAAGUAUUUUCACCCAAGAAAACACAAACAGCAAGCACAAAGCUCAGGGUUCUACCUUAGAACCUCAGACAUAUGGACUGCUCUUUCCAUUAACUUUCAAUGUGAUCCUUUAGGAGAAAUUUGCUCACCGAUGACCUUUGUGUUUCCUGCUGGUAAAGUUCUGCCCUCCCCAUUUCAGUGAUCAUGGAAAGAAGAAAAGGUGAGAAUGACCAAGAGAAAGUAUGAGGAGCAUACAUUAGUAGCUGCUCAAAGUUUAGGAGCUAAAAAAAUUUCUGAGGACCUAACGCUUCUGUAAUGUUCUGUGCCAGCCUAUAUUUAACUUGUGUUGAAAAGCCCAUGUUCUCUGAGUUAAAAUUAAUCUGUCUCCAUGGUGAGUUCCAAUAGAACUGUGGCUGGUUAGCUCAGCGAGUUAGAGUAUGGCAAUGAUAAAAUCAGAGAAGGUCAGAAAACUGCCUUUUGUUUCUUGGCCUGAGGUGACUCCGUAACUCCAGUCUCAUAUAUGGGUACUCCAAAGACCUCAGUGAAACUGGGCAGACAAGAUCACGGGGAUGGGUCAGCACAAGUCAGUCAUCUUCCCUGGGGAAAGAACUCAGAUCUUCAACAUACUAAAGGCACUUCAGUAGAGAGCUACCAUCCCAAAGUGAAGAAAGUACAGUACAUUCUAACCCACUACUUUUCUAAGUGAGUCCAAGGACCACCUGUCUCCAAAUUUCCACUGGUACUUUGUAAAUGCAUAGGUGCAGAUUCCCAGGCCUUGCACAGACCUUCAGAAUCAGAAUCCCUUGUGUUUAGCUAAGGAAUCAGCAUUUCAGAAGACUCAUGAAGGGAUUACUGUUU